AUUUUUCUCCAUCUUCAUCCUUCUUUUUGUUCCUUUAUAAACUGCUCUCAGUGUAACUGUAUUCAUAUAUAUGCUUGAAUUCCAAACCUUACGAGAUUUUGUUUAAUAAGAGUCACCCUUAUUUUUCAAUUCUUCCUUCAUUCUUUCCCUCUUAACUGGUUUUCUCUUACCCAAGAAAAGCCCUUCUCUUAACCCCAAGCUUAUUUCAAUUUCACCUUACUGAAUAUCUGAAAGGUAUAACUAUACCUCUAGUUACCUUUCGACUAUUUGGCAGACCUUUAACUUUCCCUACCAUGCCAAUGGUCACUAAACACCUUAAAUGCCACUCUUAACAGUAUUCUUUCAGUCCUCAUUCCAUAAAAAUUUCUUAACAUGUUACUUUAGAUGGAUUCCUUUACCUCAGGGGUUUCUCAAAGACUUAUUUGAAGGACUGUUUAAAAAAAUCAGAUUGUUAGGUCCCAUUUCCAGAACCUGAUUCUUUAAGUCUGACGUGGGGUUUCAGAAUAUGCAUUUUCAUAAUUUCCCAGGUGAUACUGAUUCUGUGCAUCUGGGGAUCCUGCUUUAUCUUAAAACUCCAAACUCUUGGCUUCUGAGACACUAUACAUUCCUCUGGUUCUCCUUGAAAGCCUCAGAUCAAUCCUUUCCAGACGACACUGACUUCAAAUACCAGUUUUAAGACAUAAGAAAAACAAAGUCAUAGUUUCCUCGUCAUAGACGUGAUGAAUUUUCUGAUUAGCAAAUGAACACUAAAUAAAAAUAGUCAUCAUCAUAACCAUAAUUACUGAGAUGCUCUCCAUUAAUUGUAUUUUAUUGUCUAAUGCCAAUCUUCUCUUUUAAUUCAUUUCACUAAAGUCUUAAAUAAAUCUUUUGAAGUAGCAGAACAGGAAAAUUACCAGGCUGAAUAUCUGAAAGAAUAUUAAUACAACAUACUUAACACCAAUUUUAUUAGUAGUAAUCAGAAACUAUGCCAGACACAUAGCAAUUUGAUUCAAAGCCACAUUUAGGCUUAUUUGCGGAACCGUGUAGACUUUACAUCAAAAUUUCACCUCAUAGUCUCCACCUUCAGUAUUGUUUACGUUAUAGUCUCAUAUUUUCUAUGACCCAGAUUUCCAUCUUAUUUUCACUGUAUUAUUAUUUUUUCACACACGUCUCCUUAUUUUAAACCACUGCAAAACCUUCAUCAGAGACGUUAAAGCUUAGGUUGUCGAAGAGUGUAUAAUAGCCCUCCUAAAUAUCUGUCCUCCCCUUCUUCCUGGGCACAUGGCUGCUUAGCUAAAAGCUAAGUUUUUUAGCCUCCUUUGUGUAGCUCGUUGUGGCCACGUGACUAAAUUCUCAGCAACUGAACCCAAAUGAAGGAGGUGAGCAGAACUUCUAAAUCAUUAGCUUUAAAAAAAGAACUGUUCUUUCGACUUUUUCCAAGUUAAAAUGUGAAAUGGGGGCAGCAUACCCCUAACUCUGCAGAGAAGGUUAACACGCUAGGGCACUGCUUCUCAAAGUAUGCUCCAACAGUAUCGAUACCACCUGGAAAUUUAGAAAUGUAAAUUUUCAGACUCCAACCCAGACUUA